rnacentral:rRNA from 1 species
UCUUGAGAAGCGGCGGACGGGUGAGUAAUGCCUAGGAAUCUGCCUGGUAGUGGGGGAUAACGUCCGGAAACGGACGCUAAUACCGCAUACGUCCUACGGGAGAAAGCAGGGGACCUUCGGGCCUUGCGCUAUCAGAUGAGCCUAGGUCGGAUUAGCUAGUUGGUGGGGUAAUGGCUCACCACGGCGACGAUCCGUAACUGGUCUGAGAGGAUGAUCAGUCACACUGGACCUGAGACACGGUCCAGACUCCUACGGGAGGCAGCAGUGGGGAAUAUUGGACAAUGGGCGAAAGCCUGAUCCAGCCAUGCCGCGUGUGUGAAAAGGUCUUCGGAUUG